UUAGGAAUAUUCGUCAAUGGAGGAAACUCUGAACGAGCAAUGCCGCGUGAACGAUGACGGCCCUAUGGGUUGUAAAGUUCUGUUGUUUGGAAAGAACGAUAGAUAGAGGAAAUGCUAUCUAUGUGACGGUACCAUUCAAGAAAGCCACGGCUAACUACGUGCCAGCAGCCGCGGUAAUACGUAGGUGGCGAGCGUUAUCCGGAUUUAUUGGGCGUAAAGGGUGCGCAGACGGUUUAUUAAGUCUAAAAUCAAAUCUUGGGGCUCAACUCCAUUCCGUUUUAGAAACUAGUAGACUUGAGUAUGGUAGAGGCAAAUGGAAUUCCUGGUGUAGCGGUGGAAUGCGUAGAUAUUAGGAGGAACACCAGUGGCGAAGGCGAUUUGCUGGGCCAUUACUGACGUUCAGGCACGAAAGCGUGGGGAGCAAAUAGGAUUAGAUACCCUGGUAGU
rnacentral:rRNA from 1 species